rnacentral:rRNA from 1 species
AACGUAGGAGCCUAGCGUUAUCCGAAUUCACUGGGCGUAAAGCGCGUGCAGGCGGCCCGGUAAGUUGAUUGUGAAAUCUCCUGGCUCAACUGGGAGAGGACGGUCAAUACUGUCGGGCUCGAGGGCGAUAGAGGAAGGUGGAAUUCCCGGUGUAGUGGUGAAAUGCGUAGAUAUCGGGAGGAACACCAGUGGCGAAAGCGGCCUUCUGGAUCGCACCUGACGCUCAGACGCGAAAGCUAGGGGAGCGAACGGGAUUAGAAACCCCGGUAGUCCUAGCUGUAAACGAUGUUGACUUGGUGUCGGUGGGGUAAAAGCUAUCGGUGCCGAAGCAAACGCGAUAAGUCAACCGCCUGGGGACUACGGCCGCAAGGUUAAA